GGAGGAAUAUUGGUCAAUGGGCGAGAGCCUGAACCAGCCAAGUAGCGUGCAGGAUGACGGCCCUAUGGGUUGUAAACUGCUUUUAUAAGGGAAUAAAGUGGGUCUCGUGAGACUUUUUGCAUGUACCUUAUGAAUAAGGACCGGCUAAUUCCGUGCCAGCAGCCGCGGUAAUACGGAAGGUCCGGGUGUUAUCCGGAUUUAUUGGGUUUAAAGGGAGCGUAGGCCGGAGAUUAAGCGUGUUGUGAAAUGUAGUGGCUCAACCUCUGCACUGCAGCGCGAACUGGUCUUCUUGAGUACGCACAACGUGGGCGGAAUUCGUGGUGUAGCGGUGAAAUGCUUAGAUAUCACGAAGAACUCCGAUUGCGAAGGCAGCUCACGGGAGCGCAACUGACGCUGAAGCUCGAAAGUGCGGGUAU
rnacentral:rRNA from 1 species